AAAAUGAGCUUGUAUUUUUUCCCCAGAUUAUUUUCUGAAUGAUGAUCUUUAUUGACUAUACUAUCCACAGUCCCUCAUUAAAAUGCUUCCUGCUGGAGCUGCCCUUUGGGCUUGUGAAGUUCACAGCUUCUCCUCUGAUACCUAUAAAUGACCAUGUUAAUCUCAUUCUCCCAUUAAAAUAAAAUAAAUUUAUCUAAUUUAAUGAAUCUGGGGGAUUUUCAUACAACCUAUCAUUGUGACUAGACUUUUUUUAUGCGAAGCAAGUCUUAAAAUGUAAACUGGCUGGUAUGGUAGGAAGUUUGUCACUGGGAUUUUUCCAAAAGAUCACAAGUUAUUCAUGGUCCCUUCUCAUCAGAGACACCCUGGUUUGGCCUUUGAGACCCAUGAACCCCACAACUACAGGUCUCUUGAUUUUUGAGGGGCCUAAACCAACUGCCAGAUGUGGAGUUUGGCAAAACUCUUAUUUCCACCUAGCUGCCUGCAUCUGAGCACUAUGAAUACUGCCCAGAACUGUAACAGGCAGUCCCUCUUAUGGUUUAAUCCCAACUCUAACACUCGCUCCUUCUGUGGUCUUUGUCAGAUCACUUAACUUUUUUGCUUUGGCUUCCUAAUCUGCAAAAUGAGAAGAACAAUACUUACUGAUGGGAAGAAGAGAAUGGAGGAUAUCUUACGUUUGCAUUAGCUAAUGUUUCUAGAGUUCAAAUACAUAAGUUCUCUUAUUCACCAAGAUGCAUAAAAACCAGCUGGGAGCUCUAAACCCCUACAGAAAACCGACACUCAAAACAACUUUUCUAUAGCUUACCUAGCAGCACUUCUCUUGAAGCAAGAAGCCUGAGGAUACCAACAAUGGCAACAACACCUGCUCACCAUAGACACUUUAAAGAACAGUGGUUUUCAAACUUUUGGAGCUGAGACCCCCCCCGGCUUUGAGUUACAAUUUUUGGUUGUGUACUCCCCCAACCCAGACAAAAAUAGACACAUACAAAAGUAUGCUUGAUAGCUUACUCAGAAACCUAACUUAGAUCUUAACACAACUUUAAUUAAAUUACAAAUACACCGAUACUUUAAUGUGAAGGGUGUGCCUAUUUCUCUGUGGACAGUUUAUCAAUUUGUGAGGAGUUUUUUUAAACUGAAAUUGUGAGGUUGUCCUCCACUUCCAGUCUGAGAUGGUUCUUUGUCUUUAGCACAGCCAACACAGAGAAUCUGAUCCCACACAAAUAAGAUGAACCAAACAGUGAAAGAGCUUUGAUCAUACACUUUGACAAAGCAGGAUAUUAUGAGCCAACUUUCAACCAAAAAUCCCCCGAAGACUUUUUUUAAAAUUGAAUGUCCACUGUGCUAUCACUCUAAAGUUCAAUCAGCUUGUCCUGAAUGUCAUUUGAGAGAUGGGACAAAGUCACUGCCUCAGCUACAAAAAGCUGGAUAAUCCAGUCAUUCAGGGGUGUAUUUCCUCCGGGAAAAUAUUUACCCAAACUGGCUCUGAGAGAAGUCAAGUGAUUCUCAAUUGGCUCCACAACACUGAAUAGUUCAGAUUCUGUUUCAUCGAUAACAUCAGUUAACAACGGGAAUGGAAUGCUUAAACCAGUUUUGAUUUUUGUUUUCCAGAGAUCUAGUUUUCUCUUGAAUGCCGAUAUCUUGUUGUGCAGGUCAAAAAUAGUACUUUCUGCUCCUUGCAAAAGAACAAUGCAAAAAUAAUUCAUUUUGUCAAAAAUAUCAGCAAGGUAAGCCAAAAGCACAAGCCACUAGGGAUCACAAGGUGUCUCGGCAUUGGUGAAAUUCAUAUCCACCACAAAAAAAUCAAAUUUCAUUUCUCAGUUCAUAAACGCGUUGCAACACUUUCCCACUGGAUAGCCAACUGACUUCAUGUGAAAUAACAAAGCAUCAUGCUCUGCUCCCAUUUCUGCAAAAAGCAUUUCAAAGAGAAAAGUGCCUUUGUGGGUUGCAUCUUGAUAAAGUUCACUAUUUUUAGAGCAGAACUGUAAGUAUGUGAUCCAUGUUUCGAGUUGCAAGGGCUUUGCAGUGUAUCACACAAUGAGUCCACAAUAUAUGUAGCGCAAUUUCAAACAAUUGCCAAGCCUGCCCUACCUCCAGACACAGAAGGGGCUCCAUCCAUGCAGAUUUUGAUGCAGGCUUCCCACUUCAACUUGUGAGAUGUUAGAAAGUGGUUUAAAAUGUUAAACAGUUCAGAUCCAGUUGCAUGAAUCUUAAUUGGCUUGCAGAACAAAAAAAAUCUUCCAAUAUUGAUGUUUCAUGAGCGUACCAAACGUAAGCAAUUAAAUGAGCUUUCGAUAUAUCCAUUGCUUCAUCCAACUGGAUUACAAAUAAACUGGCUUGCAAUCGAGAGAUCAGCUGUGCCCUGAUGUUUUCUGACAUGUCAAAGAUUUGGCAGCUGACUGUGUUGUCUGACAGCAGGAUCAUUUUUAACUUUUCUGCCACACUGUCACCAAGCCUUGUCCUGCCAAUGUCAAUUGCUGCUGGGAGAAUCCGUUUUUCCCUAAUUGUGUAAGGCUUUUUAUUCUUGGCAAUGUGGUAUUCAACUGGAUACGAUGCUUUUAAAUCACUUGCAGGGGUGGAUACCACAUUUUUCACUGUGGUUUUUUGUUUGUUAAUUUCUUGUAACUUUCAUUCGAAAAAAAUCUCUGUUCUUUCCUACCACAUCGCCAUGUUUUGUUUCCAAAUGGCGUCUUAAUUUUGUUGGCGUCAGGCUAUCAUUUGCUAAAGUUACUGCACACACUAUGCAUUGAGGCCUGAUUUCUCCGCUAACUGCAAUGGAAGUGAAACCAAAAUUCAAAUAUGCUUCAUCAUAUUUUCUUGUUUUUGCAGAUUUUUUGUCUGUAACAACUUUAGCCAUUUCAGCUUCUGCCUUUCGUUUUGGAACAUUACCAUCUUUUGGCAAUAACUACCAAUCCAUUUUUCACCAGCGGAAUAAGCACAACAACACUGCUUGCUGAAAUGACAAAUGAUACGACAUACUGAACUGGGAAAGCCCGGUGAGUCUCUUUCCUGAAGCGAAGUUUUUUGCUCUCUGUGCCUGGUAGAGCACAAGGCAACAAUGAUGUCAGCACAGCCUUGGGAAUGGGAUUGGCUGAUUAACGUGUGCUGCCUCUGCUGUUGACUGGCUUUAGCCCUCUGAUAAUAGCAGCAGCUGUUGUUUAAGAUCUCUGGAAAUGGUCUCAUCACAAGUUUCAAUAAGGAAGUUACCAGCAUCAUUCAUGGCUGUGUGCUGCUGGAUCCAAUGAGACUUAGCAAAGAGGUCAAAGAAGAAAUGAGAUGGAAGAAUGAAUUACCCUGCAGAGGUAGACCUUCUUCAUUCCAGGUGUAAAUCUCCUCUCCAACACUGGGAAGCAUGGCUUGGAUACCUCUGAGGCACCAUUUCCCACCCCAGACCCUGCGGAAGUUCCUCUGCAUAGACCCCAGUCAGCAUGAAGGAGGAAGCAGAGUCAGGGCGGGCUGUGGGGGUGGGGGGGCACAUUGUCCCUGACCCAAGGAAGACUUUAAAAAAUGAAUACGGUCCCAGCCUAUACUAUUUUUUGAUUCCCCCCCCACAAUACCUGGGGCCUUGAAUGAAGGUGCAAGGGGAGAGGCCCUGGAAGCAUGGCUCCAAUGGAGCUGUGCUGGGAGGGGUCUGAGAGGGACUGCUGAGGUUGAAAAGGUGUGGGGUUUCCCUGUGAAUGGCUGAGGCCAUCUGCAGGUCCUCAGGAAUCCACUAGGUUGGAAGGCAGUUCUCAGCAGGUGACAAACCCUGCUCCUCCUGAUGGCAUGGUGCAGGGGCAUCACAGAUAUUUCCCAGUAAAUAGCCUCCUUGUGCAACUUUGAAAUUACUAGGCCAAAUUUAUCUUUAGUUGAAGUUCCUGGCAGUUGAUGGAGUUACAGAAAAGAUGGAUUUGUUCGGCGAUGAAUUUGUUCUGUUAUAUUUCAAUUAUUUGUGCGAGGAAUAUGAGAGUCCAGGACGAUUAUUUCUGGCAAGUUUCAAAAUUGUUUAGGUUAAUGAGUUCAUGGUAGAAUCCCUUAAACUAGGGGUUACCAAGGGAAACAGGGAAGAACUUUACAUUUUAGCAUUGCAAACACAACAAUGAUGCAAAUAUAGAACUUGUAAUCAGACAGGGAGCUAAAGGAGAGUUGAAACAUUAUGGUGUGGUAUGAAGGUUUUAUGGCCUACAUUUGGGAUGCACCAUAAUUCUCAUGCAUGGUGAACUUAAGAGUGAGUUAUGUAGGUCAUUCCAGGUGAGUGCCAUAAAGCCCUUAUAUCACGCCACAGCAUCAGGGAUUUUGUAUGUUAUACAUACAUUACAAAACAAAUAUUUUGGAAAUAUUUCAGUAAGUUUUACUUUGUGUUACUGAUGCUAUUUAAUUACCUCUAUCCAACUUGAAGCCAGGAUGCCUUUGUUAACAUUAAUUGAAUUGUACAAACUUUAGUGAGAGUGAAAGUUAUAACUGAUAAAUUAUAAAAGCCUCUUAAAUGACCUAAAAUAGAUUUGCCAUACAUGAUGAUGUCACUCUUAAGGUCUAGUACAGCAUCUUGAAAACACCUAGGACCAGAAGCAAAUUCUGUUACCUUCUGAUAAUUGGGGACACUUCUGAUCCUUGAGCCAGUGUAAUAUGAGGGAGAAACUGCACAUUUUGGGGGAAAGGAAGUAAUAUUCCUAUGUCAGAGUGCUGUAUUUAUUUAUUUAUUUAUUUACUUACUUACUUACUUAUUUAAACUGGCUAUUUGAAGCUGCUGAGAGAUUUGGAAUAGGAUUGCCAACUCUCCAGGAUUGCCCUGGAGUCUCCAGGAAAUAAAGAUUAAUCUUUAAUUAAAUAUUAUAUCAUGUGAUGAAAACUCCAGGAAUUCAUCCAACUAAAAUUGGCAACCCUAGUAGUCAAAGAGUCCCAGUGGAGACAGAUUAGCAGAUGGACAGAGUGCAGAUGGGAUGGUCAAAGUUGCAUCAUGAAUGCAAUUCAUCACAUGGAUAUCAGGAGCACGUGUGGCACUAUUCACAGUUCACAUUUUGUGUUUAAAAUCUGCUUUAAGAUGAAACUGUAGAACAGACUCGGCACAUAGAUGUUGACUUAAAUGUUCAUAUACAAAGAAUAUAUCAAUAUUUCAUUUUAUACACAUGAACAUAAACCACACAUAUAAGCCUCUGACACCCAUGUGCAUUUAUCAUGUGUCUGACCAUCUCACUUGCCCAUUAAUCUACCGUUGCCAGGACAAUUUAUAAAAUGCCAAACUACUGAGACAACUUUUACAGGCACAAUUUUUGUUUAAACAUAAGAAACGCUCCUUUCUUUCCCCCCAAUUCAAAGUACUGAAUUUUUUUUUAAAAAAAAAUUUAAACUGGCUUGUGACCCACAAUGUGCAAUAUUCUGUCCUCAGCUGGUGUCAGGAUUAAAGUCUGAUAUCUUUUUAAAUAGGAGAUAUUUAUCAUUGAUAGUGCUGAAGACCACAGAUAUUAAAAUUGUGCCAUUAAAAUAGUAGUGUUAUCCUUAUGGGUGAAAAACUAUCUUAGGUCAUUUAAAGAAGUUUCUAAAAUGUAUUUGUCAUAAUUUUUCACCCCCUCUGAGGUCAGAGCACAACUCAUGAUACCAAAGCAGACAGGCUUAUGGUGAACUAUAUAAAUGCACACAAUAGUUGGAACAAAUUUUAGACCUAUUUAAAUAAUUUCUAAAAUAGUUUAAAAACAUCCUUAUUUUUUAAUUUGCUGGGCAAACAUAACUACAAAUAUACGUAGAUAAACUGGCUGUAGACAGAGUGGUAAUUCAGAGAAGUCACCUGAGUGGUAAACAAAAAGGUAAAAGCAUAAUAUUUACUGCACAUAAAUGCUUGUAUAAACAGCUCACUUUAACUCCUAAAUUGUUGCAAAGAAAGAAGUGAUUAAACCAGUUUUACUACAAAAUAUGUGGCAUAUACAGAACACAUAAUGAUGCAGUAUGAUAUAAUGGCACUUGUUUUGAGUGAGCUGCAUAACAACACAUUCUUGACUUUCUCAUUUGUGAACAAAGCGGCCACCCUAAAUUCAUGAAAAUAAAGCCUUUAUGCUAUACCAUCCUAUAUGUGCUCGCUGUCUUUCCAAAUUUAUACAUGCACACAUGAGUGCCCACAUGCGCACACACACAAACCUGAGGCAAAUAUGCUCAGAUAAAAAGUAUACUAUGCAUCUGUGAAGGUUUCUGAUAGUGAAGAGAGUAGAGCAGGAAUUAUUCCAUGCAUAAAUCUCAACCUGCCACAACUCUCAUCAUCUAGGGCUUCUCCCCAGUCUUCUGCAAACAGCCCCUAACUGGUCACUGAUAUAUACUUUUUUAAACUUGUUUUGUGUAGGUUGUAAAACUUUUACUGAACAGUCAUAAAAGCCAUAUACAGGUGUUGGAUGAA